CUGGAGGCUGGGCGCACAGGCCAGGGCUGUCCUCUGAGGCAGAUGGGGUCCAGGGAGUGGUCUUGAGCAGUGGCUGGAGGACAGCCAGGUGGGAGGAGGGGCUGCUACUUUCUAGAGCCGCCCUGCUCCGUCGCCGGUCCCCUCCAUCUCUGAUACCUGCCAGAGCCUCGCCUUGGGGAGGUCGCUUGCCCUCCAUGGGCCUCCGUUUGUCCCUGGUCUGACGGGACAGGGGACUUGGAGAGUCCUUCCUGCUCUGAUAUCCAGCAGCUCUGGGCUUCUUAGCUUGGGCUGGAGGUGGACACACACACUCGCAGCCGGGGGCUGGGGGGGCCAGAGUGAGGGGCCGCCGACUCCCGAGAACACCUUGUCUGAGUGCCCACGCUGGCAGGUGCCCUCUCCAGGAGAGGGGAGGGGAGGAGCCUGGGGGAAGCAGGGGUUCCACAAGCCUGACUCCGAGCGGGGCUGGUCAGCUCCUAGCUCGGCCGGUGCCCCAGGCCUCGGGCAGACUGUCCCCCACUCGGCAAGCUCAGCUGACCCGCGGGCUUGCCUAGCUCUCUGAGGAGCCUCUUGGCCCCAAAGGCUGUAUUUUGGGUUAUCUCCCUGCCAUUAAGCAAGCCCAGAAUGGCAGUUUCGGAAACUUGCGGUGGGGAGGGACCCUGGCCCAGCCCUAGGUCCCGCAGGAUCGGGUCCUCCCUCCUUCCCUGGGCACCCACUGCGCAGUGGGGAGGGGCGGGCAGUUGUGGUCCGUAAGGCCCAUUCCAGUGCUGAGGCUAGAAGACUCGCCUCAGGGCUUCAACUCUUGCCUCUGUGCUGCCCCAGGGCCUGGGAUGGCAGGACUGUGUCCAGUUCAGCCCUAGGAAGCAGCCUCGGCCUGAGCCGUGGUCCUGGCUUCAGUGUCAACCCCAUGGUGGGUCAAUAAGUGAGACGGCCCCUCUGUUCCCCCAGCCCACCCCUGGCACACAUCUGGUUUCUUCUUGGGGUGCCCUGCUUAACAGGGAGCAGAGAACAGGGACCCAGGGACCCAGACAGACGUGGGUCUGGAGAUGGAGGCUCACUCGUCUUCUUGGACCCCCCACCUCCAGGAAGCCCUCCCGGACUCCCUUUUCCAUCCCCAGGCAGGGGCCAGACUGAACAGCAACACCGCUCCCUGGUGGGCAGAGGCCACUCAGGACUUUAUUAACAUCAGCAACGUCCCCUGCACACUGCUUGUCCACAGCCAGGACUUCCUCCCCUUCAGAACAGUCCCUGGAAGGUGGGGGGGGGUCUCCCCUUCUUCCUCUACGUCGGG